rnacentral:tRNA from 1 species
GGAGAAUUAGCUCAGCUGGGAGAGCAUCUGCCUUACAAGCAGAGGGUCGGCGGUUUCGAACCCGUCAUUCUCCACCA